UGGACCUUUUCCCGAUGAGCCAGU
rnacentral:piRNA from 1 species